UUUAACCGUACAUUUGACAGAUACGCCCGCACUGACUUUUUUGUAGAUCUUAUUGAGAUACAUGUGUGUGUCAAUUUUUGUGUCAUUUUGCCAAAGCGUACAGGUGUUACACUCAACAAUGUGUAUUUUCACCUUAGGGGACAAGAAAAAAUGGUUUUUUUUCUCCUGCCAUGGGGGGGCGCUCUUUUGGGGAGUAAAAAUUCCUUCACAAAUGUGUUGAUGGCUGGACAUUGCAUCAUCCUAGAAAACUUGGAGGCCAGUGAGGGCAAAAAUAAAAAGUUAUAAGACUUUUAAAUAUGUGGAUCUUAGGGUUAUCUUUGGCGCCCCCUAGAACCUAAACCGUGGGGUGCAGCGUCAUGAUUUGAAUAACUUUUAAUGGCCAUGGGGUGUAGAUUGGCCUGAGCAAAUGUGGUGCCGGUGGAACGAAAGCCUUCGGAGGAGUUAGCGAAAUUCCAAUGUGUGCGAAUCGGCAAAAAAUGCGAAAUAACCCUUUAACCGUACAUUUGACAGAUACGCCCGCACUGACUUUUUUGUAGAUCUUAUUGAGAUACAUGUGUGUGUCAAUUUUUGUGUCAUUUUGACAAAGCGUACACGCGUGACAGUCAAUAGUGUGAAUUUUCACCUUAGGGGGCGCUAUGGAGCCAUUUUGCAUUUUCUUGUUUGGGCGACUUCGGAAUAUCAAAUUUUUCACCAGGCCCGGUCGUCCUGCCAAAUUUCAUGAGUUUUCGCCAGUGGGAAGUGGGCCAUUUUCCAGUUUAAAGGGGAGGAAAAAUAAUAAUAAUAACAAACUAGGACCCCGUUGGGGCACUGGCGGGCCCGAGCUGUGUCGCGCCCCCCCCCCAACGCGCUGCCUCCCCGUCCCAUUUGUGUCCUCUGGCCAUCGCCCUCUCUGGUAACGCCCAUCACUGCAAAGACCCUUUUCCUUCAUCGGCGUUUGCUGUUCUUCCUGCCAGUGCGUGUUGCUUUCACUUACACUUGCCACAGCCAGCCUCUUGAGUGCCUAGCCUAUUGGAUAUCACUGUCACCUACUCAGGACAGUCAUUACCUUUCUAUUAAUACUUUGUUUUUUAAUUUCACAUUAAUUUCCAUAUUGUAUAAACAACUGGAAAAAACUUGAGCCCCUGCCCCUGUAUAAUCAUGUGCACGUCUCUGUUCUAGCUGUAAGGUGAAUCUUCACUGCUCAUGUUCUCCUCAGAAGCAGUCACCUCACUCCCCUCAGGUUACUGUACACAUGCACCAACUGCCUGCUUCAGGUUUGGAUGGAGCUUCAUGGUUGUCUUUUGGAGAAAUGACCAGUCAAGUUGUGUUUGAAAUUUGAUUUUUUUCAGGGGCAAAAGGAGCCUCUGCAUUCUUGUCAAAUAUGUAAAUAGCAUGUUUUUGCAGGUGCUAAAAACCAGACUCUGAGUGUGUGUGUGUGCGUGUGUGUGUGUGCGUUCAAGUCACAUGACAUAUUUAACCGGAUGUAGCUGCAAGACGGAGCCUCGUUGACUCCGUUUCAACUUAUCUCAAAAGUGAGGACCUCAACCUAUAUACCAGUUUUUAAAUUGUGUUGAUAGGCCAAAUAAAACCAGAGUUAUGAUCAAUUAUGUCCGCGAUACUUGUUUUCUGCUUAUUUUGAUCACGUUCGGCGCUCGAUCGCGCUGCAUGAGACAGGAAAACAUAGCAUGCAGACAUUAGCGACAGGUCUUACAGGCGGAAAAGGCUUGCCAUUGGAAAAAGAAAACACACCACAACAUCUCACCUAUUGGUGGAAAACUUCACCACAACAACCAAUCCAAAAUUAUAUGGUGACUGAUUGACAAGGGGCGGGCGCUUACGUUCUUCCUGCAAUAUGAGAAGGGAGGGAGGGACUCUCAGCAGGGAUGCAGUCUGGGACACGUAGUUGCAAACCUAGCGACUUUGUUGUUAGAUUCAAUGACUUUUCAGACCCCCUAACGACUUUUUUUUUAGAAAGAAAGUGACUUUUAUCGACUUCUUCUGGAGUUUAGAGACUCUGACAUGAAGCAGGCUUUCCUUACUGAGGAGUUAGCAACGCUGCUAAGGGUGCAGAGCCACACAUGCGCUCCGAGCUCUGCAUGGGAGACUGAAGCUGACAGAGCUGCAGCAGUUAGCAGGUUUCACCCUCAGAGACCACCAGGGGUUCAUGUUGAGGCAUUUUCAGUUUUUUUUUUUUUUUUUUGCCAUAGACACUGUCAGCACAAUCUGCAGUUACACUAACAAAAAUGCUGCAAAAAACAAAGAAUUAUGGAAAAAUUACACAUGGACUAACAUAGAGGAGGAUCUACACAAGUUUUUUACAUCAUGUUUUACAUCAUGCAUCAUUUACAUCAUGUUUUUUUGUAGUGGCAUAAAUAAAAAGUGACAUUUGUGAGACUAUACAGUGUUUUGUAAAUAAUUUUACAAAGAACACCUGGGCCAUUGCCUGCAUUUUGAUGUAAAUAGAGGUAAAUUACUAUGUUCUUUGUUAAAAAUUUGCAUAUGUUUUGAAGUUUACAAUUUUUAUUUGAAGUUUAAGUUUUAAAAACAGUUCAUCACACAUAUUUGUGGUUUUCACAGUAAAAACGUUACUUUUUUCCACUCGGAUUUUAUGUUUUGUGUGUGAAUUUGGGUCCAAUGUGUAAAUAUAGUAUGUCAAAAUGAUAAAAUAACUGUAAAUUGACACAGGUGAGGUUGUGCUGAAAAAAAUGAUACCAGGCAAGGCAAGGUAAAAAUUUUGUAAGAGGAAAUAUAAAGGUAAAAUCUAAAGUAGUCAAAAACGGCCAAUAGUGACUCACAGACUCCACAGACAAGUCCCUUUGGCGCCACUCAGUGGGCAAAACUACUUUGUCUACUGUAAUGUAUAUUUGGGUCAUCUUUGGCGCCCCCUAAAACGUAAACCGUGGGGUGCAGCGUCAUGAUUUUUACAACUUUGAAUGGCCAUGGAGUGUAGAUUGGCCUGAGCAAAUUUGGUGUCAGUGGGACGAAAGCCUUAGGAGGAGUUAGCGAAAUUCCAAUGUGUGCGAAUCGGCAAAAAAUGCAAAAUAGCCCUUUUACCGUACAUUAUACAGAUACGCGCUCUUUGACUUUUUCGUAGAUCUAAUUGAGAUACACAUGAUUGUCAAUUUUUGUGUCAUUUUGCCAAAGCGUACAGGCGUGACAGUCAACAAUGUGUAUUUUCACCUUAGGGGACAAGAAAAAAUGGACUUUUUUCUCCUGCCAUGGGGGGGCGCUCUUUUAGGGAGUAAAAAUUCCUUCACAAAUGUGUUGAUGGCUGGACAUUGCAUCAUCCUAGAAAACUUGGAGGCCAGUGAGGACAAAAAUAAAAAGUUAUAAGACUUUUAAAAAUGUGGAUUUUUGGGUUAUCUUUGGCGCCCCCUAGAACGUAAACCGUGGGGUGCAGCGUCAUGAUUUGAAUAACUUUUAAUGGCCAUGGGGUGUAGAUUGGCCUGAGCAAAUGUGGUACCGGUGGAACGAAAGCCUUCGGAGGAGUUAGCGAAAUUCCAAUGUGUGCGAAUCGGCAAAAAAUGCGGAAUAACCCUUUAACCGUACAUUUGACAGAUACGCGCGCAUUGACUUUUUUGUAGAUCUUAUUGAGAUACAUGUGUGUGUCAAUUUUUGUGUCAUUUUGACAAAGCGUACAGGCGUGACACUCAACAAUGUGUAUUUUCACCUUAGGGGACAAGAAAAAAUGGACUUUUUUCUCCUGCCAUGGGGGGGCGCUCUUUUGGGGAGUAAAAAUUCCUUCACAAAUGUGUUGAUGGCUGGACAUUGCAUCAUCCUAGAAAACUUGGAGGCCAGUUAGGGCAAAAAUAAAAAGUUAUAAGACUUUGAAAUAUGUGGAUUUUAGGGUUAUCUUUGGCGCCCCCUAGAACCUAAACCGUGGGGUGCAGCGUCAUGAUUUGAAUAACUUUUAAUGGCCAUGGGGUGUAGAUUGGCCUGAGCAAAUGUGGUGCCGGUGGAACGAAAGCCUUCGGAGGAGUUAGCGAAAUUCCAAUGUGUGCGGAUCGGCAAAAAAUGCGAAAUAGCCCUUUAACCGUACAUUUGACAGAUACGCCCGCACUGACUUUUUUGUAGAUCUUAUUGAGAUACAUGUGUGUGACAAUUUUUGUGUCAUUUUGACAAAGCGUACAGGCGUGACAGUCAAUAGUGUGAAUUUUCACCUUAGGGGGCGCUAUGGAGCCAUUUUGCAUUUUCUUGUUUGGGCGACUUCGGAAUAUCAAAUUUUUCACCAGGCCCGGUCGUCCUGCCAAAUUUCAUGAGUUUUCGCCAGUGGGAAGUGGGCCAUUUUCCAGUUCAAAGGGGAGGAAAAAGAAAAAAGAAACAAAGAAAAACCACUUGGGG